UCCGGACACCCUCCCACCAAGGGCCUCGCGCGCUGCGACUGCGCGAUCCCGAGCUCCAGCCCCUGGCGGCGCCUCCGCGGAGCGGGGCAUAGCGGUCCACGUGGCCGGCGAGUGUCCGCCUCGGUGGUCCUCCCCUCCGAUGACCCCGCCUGGUGGUGACAGUCGGCCAGUGGAGCGCCAGCACCCCCACAUUGGUAGUCUUAAUCCUGUUUGACCCCCACGUACCUGAAUUGUGAUGGCGGAAGUGGGGUGUGCACUCCUCAACGAAAGCACGAUGAGCGACAUGCAACGUCUCCAGUGGCCUGUUCUUCAGUCACAAGAAUGAACUGCAUUCUAGAUGGUGGAGCUUCUGCCAGCCUGGGUUAGGGAGUGACCACGUGGAACAAAGAACAUCAGCUCCUCCCCCUGAACUCCCCAACUUCAACCAAAUUGUGAGACAGGCACACAUCUGGAGAAGGGAGAGAAAGCUGAACUAAGCAUACAAGAGGGAUCGAACUUGGGACCUUGUGUUGUGCUUGCGAGGCAGGCGGUGGAACCACUGAGCUAAAUCCCCGGUCCCUAGGAUAAAAUUGAAUUUACUUUUUCUUGCCAAGCUUUUACCUCUGUUAGAGACUGAUUGCUGC
ensembl:lncRNA